GAAGUAAGCCAGACAGCCGCUGGCCGGCGUUGCAAUGCGCCGGCGGGAGGAAGGUCCGGACUCCAUAGAGCAGGGUGACGGUUAACGGCCGUCCGCCGUGAGGCGAGGAAUAGGGCCACAGAGACGAGCGUAUUAAGUUACGGUGAAACGCGGUAACCUCCACCCGGAGCAAUCUCAAAUAGGCACGCGUUGAUGUUGCUCGCGGAGCGUGCGGGUAGAGAGCUUGAGCGCUGGAGCAAUCCAGCGCCUAGAGGAAUGGUUGUCAUAACGCGAGGGCGCAAGCCUGGGCGUCGUAACAGAAUCCGGCCUAUCGGCUUACUUCAUUU
rfam:Collimonas fungivorans Ter331, complete genome.